rnacentral:misc_RNA from 1 species
CCUCCUUGAGGCUUACUUUGAACAGAGGUUGGAAGUAAGAUUCCACCAUCUGUCUUCUCCUCUGCAACCUUAAUCUUCACAAGCACCCUAUCACCCAAGGGCUUAAUCGAAGUGUACUACAGAAGUUGAAGACCAUUGUAUAAGACAAGCUAGCAAAACCAUGUAACUCAAAAUAAAGCUAUUUAUCAACUCAAAAUUAACAAUUAAGUGUUUGAUGACUAUGGAAUGCUACAAAAAGUUAACUUCCAUCCUAUCAUAAAGGAAUAGCAGUGGCUCUCAAAAUUGAGAAGUAUUUCUCAAAUAACAUCGCACCAUUAACUAAUGUCAGACACAAAUGAAAAAGACAGUUCUAAAGCUACCCAAUUCAGUAUGAAUCCAGAAAACCAACCCCAAAUGUUUCUCAAACCAAAGUUCAAUGACUCUCAUUUGCACAAAGCAAAAUAAUAAUCCAUAAACUACAAAAAUAGACGAAAGAGCUCCUCAGUAGAUAAAGAAGUUACCUUAGGGGCAACCACAGUAGCAGCUUUCACGACCAAGCCCCGUAGAAACCGUUGGGAUACACCAUCUGCCUUCAAAGUACCGAAAUAUGCAAACUUGACUGUGGAAGGUCUUAACCCUUCAAAAGACAAGUUCCUGACUGAAACCGAAACUGAGGAUGCUGUGAGCUGAGCUGUAGCCAUUUCUGGACCUUUGACUUUGGGAUUUGGAGUGAUUAAGAGUUGAGCGAUGCUAUGAUAUUUGGUCGGAAAUGGAGUUGUUGGAGAAGGAGGGUAGAAGAUAAAAUAAAACCCUAUGAGCAAUGAAUUUCAGUUUGAGAAUGGGUUUUAUCAGUUGAUAAGAGAGACCUCUAGAAUUUUGUUGGUGUGUCGAGACUCCCA